UGGACAAAAGCCAUCCAUCACACAGUGACACUUGCGAAACUUGUAGGGCACUGAGUAAUUGCAAGAUUUGCGUAUUCUUGGAUUUCCUGCAUUCGCAUCUUCUAAUGCCAUUACAAUCCACCACUACUCCCAAAGCCAUUAAUCCAAAAACUUAUAGCAUUUUCUGUAAGAGAAAGAAAGAAAGAAAGAAAAAAGAAAGAAAGGAAACAAAAAGGAAAGAAAAGAAAAGAAAGAAGGAAGGAAAGAAGAAAAAGAGAAGAGAAAAGAAAGAUUGGCUUCCUUUAAAUUGAGGUGGAUUUCUUUCUCAGGGGAAAUUAUUUAGUGUUGUCUGAGAGCAGAAAGCCAUUUGAAAGUAAGUUCAGAACUAGAAAUGUAGCUAUUUUCCUCAUGUCUGCUCAAGUUUCUAUGCCUUGUUUUCAAAGUGCUCUGAAAUGUUUAUCAGGAUGUGGAGCAGAAGCUACUAAAUGUCAUUUACAGUGAGCUAAUCCCUAGGCAUGUUGCAAACCAAUUGCCUUGAGAAACCUUUUUAUCAAACUCCACUACCACCCUCCUUUCUAAAUGAACUACUAC